GCUGCUGCAGCCUGACACAGGUCAGAGUAUUUUGGCGGUUGCCAUCUUCAAACGGUCGUAUUUUAAAAACUAUAAAUCCUACAGCGAAGAGCUUUAUAUUGUGAGAAUCACAAGACCCAGACCUACAUUUUGAUGCAUAGUAUGUCUCUGAAGUAUUAAAAUUGAAUGCACAUUUGCAGUUUAGAAAUUGCACUUCAAAUUUGAGCUUUGUAGAGUGCAGUUUCAAUGAAUGUC